rnacentral:rRNA from 1 species
AUUGAACGCUGGCGGCAGGCCUAACACAUGCAAGUCGAGCGAGCGGCGGACGGGUGAGUAAUGUAUGGGGACUGCCCGAUAGAGGGGGAUAACUAAUGGAAACGGUGGCCAAUACCGCCUAUUGUCGGAUAACCCAUAUGGGAUUAGCUAGUAGGUAAGGUAAUGGCUUACCUAGGCGACGAUCCCUAGCUGGUAUGAGAGGAUGAUCAGCCACCCUGGGACUGUGACACGGCCCAGACUCGUCCGGGGGCAGCGGAGGGGAAUAUUGCACAAUGGGGGCAGGCCUGAUGCAGCCAGGCCGGGUGGAGGAAGAGGUCCCUAGGGUGGUAAAGUAUUUUCAGUCAGAAGGCGUUAACGACAGAAGAAGCACCGGCUAACUCCGUGCCAGCAGCCGCGGUAAUAC